AUAAAGCUGAGGACUGCCAAACACAUGCUUGAAUCUGGUUCAUGUCAGGCCUUAUUGUCCUGAGAUUACAUUCUGCACAAAUAAUAUUUACUAAUCAGGGACUUGAGAACUCUCUGAACUUGUCUCAGGGAUUUUUACUGUGUCAGGAUUUUUAACGAGCCGGAGGAAAAGCAGCCUCGGCUAUUCCAGACUGCAGUGGGUACAGUGCCAUCUAAAACUUCCCUGUGCCUGUGCAAUGAAGAGCAAGAGCUCCUGGAUGUCUCAAGCAGGUUUUGAACGACCAUCACGCUCCGAGCUCCCCUCGCCUGCUGCAAAAUCCCUCCGCAAGAACCUGCAGAUUCCCCAUUUGAUCACCGAAUGUUUAAAGAAAAGAAGUAACUGAGUUCUCUGCAGAUUGCACACACAGAGAAUAAAACAGCAGCCUUUUUUUUUUUUUUGCA
rnacentral:lncRNA from 1 species